rnacentral:rRNA from 1 species
UUCCGUAGGGGGAACCUGCGGAGGGAUCAUUACCGAGUUUACAACUCCCAAACCCCUGUGAACAUACCUUAAUGUUGCCUCGGCGGAUCAGCCCGCGCCCCGUAAAACGGGACGGCCCGCCAGAGGACCCAAACUCUAAUGUUUCUUAUUGUAACUUCUGAGUAAAACAAACAAAUAAAUCAAAACUUUCAACAACGGAUCUCUUGGUUCUGGCAUCGAUGAAGAACGCAGCAAAAUGCGAUAAGUAAUGUGAAUUGCAGAAUUCAGUGAAUCAUCGAAUCUUUGAACGCACAUUGCGCCCGCUGGUAUUCCGGCGGGCAUGCCUGUUCGAGCGUCAUUUCAACCCUCAAGCCCCCGGGUUUGGUGUUGGGGAUCGGCUCUGCCUUCUGGCGGUGCCGCCCCCGAAAUACAUUGGCGGUCUCGCUGCAGCCUCCAUUGCGUAGUAGCUAACACCUCGCAACUGGAACGCGGCGCGGCCAUGCCGUAAAACCCCAACUUCUGAAUGUUGACCUCGGAUCAGGUAGGAAUUCCCGCAG